AGCUCCAAUAGCGUAUAUUAAAGUUGUUGCAGUUAAAAAGCUCGUAGUUGGAGUUCAGAGUGAGCUCGUCCGGUCGGCCUAAUGGGUCAGAACUGGUUGACUCUCUCUUGUUUGUGGAUCCUGCCAGCAGUUAACUCUGUUGGUGUGGAGUCCACAUCGUUUACCUUGAAAAAAUUAGAGUGUUCAAAGCAGGCGUUUGCUUGAAUAUAUUAGCAUGGAAUAAUGGAAUAGGACGCUGGUUCUAUUUUGUUGGUUUUGAGAACCAGAGUAAUGAUUAAUAGGGACAGUUGGGGGCAUUCAUAUUUCAUUGUCAGAGGUGAAAUUCUUGGAUUUAUGAAAGAUGAACUUCUGCGAAAGCAUUUGCCAAGGAUGUUUUCA
rnacentral:rRNA from 1 species